AGGAUGAGUUCCUUCCUUCCUAAGGUCACUCAGACUGAGAGGUGGGUUAUCACCCAGAAUGUUGGUACAGUUUUCUUUCCAGGAAGCAAAGAGCUCAUGGUCACAGCUGGGAUGCACUUAUCUGUCUCCCCAAACCCAGAUCCAAAUUCCUCUUAGAUCUCACUCUGUUCAUACAAUGUCUGUGACAAUGACAAGAGCACCAAGAUGUCUGAGUCAGAGUCCUGUGCUGCCUCAGAGCCUCCUGAGGGGAGGAGGUUACUUCUCAGGUAGAAGUUGCCAUACAGGUCUAGGAAAUGAGCCAUCACCAGUCCCUGAAUCUGCCUGCACCUAAAUCCUGGACUUCGAGCUUCCAGAAUGCUCACAAGGAGCCAGCUACUUUUGCUUCUUUUUAGUCCUGGCUGAUGACUGUACAGCUGUCGAUGCUACUGUGCUGCCUCUGAUGCUUCUUCCUUCAUGCUGUCAGCUCAAAAGACCACUCGUCUUG
rnacentral:lncRNA from 1 species